rnacentral:rRNA from 1 species
GACGAACGCUGGCGGCGUGCCUAACACAUGCAAGUCGAACGGAACUGUUUUGAAAGAUUUCUUCGGAAUGAAUUUGAUUUAGUUUAGUGGCGGACGGGUGAGUAACGCGUGAGUAACCUGCCUUCAAGAGGGGGAUAACAUUCUGAAAAGAAUGCUAAUACCGCAUGACAUAUCGGAACCACAUGGUUUUGAUAUCAAAGAUUUUAUCGCUUGAAGAUGGACUCGCGUCCGAUUAGUUAGUUGGUGAGGUAACGGCUCACCAAGACCGCGAUCGGUAGCCGGACUGAGAGGUUGAACGGCCACAUUGGGACUGAGACACGGCCCAGACUCCUACGGGAGGCAGCAGUGGGGGAUAUUGCGCAAUGGGGGCAACCCUGACGCAGCAACGCCGCGUGAAGGAUGAAGGUUUUCGGAUUGUAAACUUCU